rnacentral:lncRNA from 1 species
UCUUUCAGCUAGAAUGUUAACUGUGGAUAUUACUGUAUCUCAAAAGUGAAAGAAGAAGCAGAAAAAAUGGAGAAGCUCAAAAGAGAUUGCAAACUGGAAGUCAGUCAGAAGGAAGAGCAGAUUUCAGCUCUUAUCAUACAGAGUGAUGAGAAAGAUGAUGUAAUAAGAGACAUCAAGGCUCAGCUGCAGGAAUCACAAAAUAGGAUUGCUGACUUAAUAGAAGAAAAAAGUAAGAGUCCUCUCUGCUGUGUUCAAAUGUAGUUGUUUGUAGAAGCAUAGGAAACAGGCUCAUGAUAAUUUCACUCUGUUACUAGUCAGCAACAGAAUUUUGGGGCCUUGCAGGCCUUAGUUCUGUUUGGAACAGACCCUGCUGAUGUGGGAUCAGAACUGGCAGGGUCGUUUUUAGGGCGAGUCAACAGUGAGGGCUUUUGAGGAUUGCAAGGGGAGAAUACACUGCUUGAGUUUUGCAUAUUUACAGUCAGACAGGUGCCAUUGAGGAGGAAACUUAUUUUUCAGAACUCGAUUUUCAAUAUUUUUAAGCCAUUUAUGUUCAAAAUAUUUGUAGUAUAUGAUGCCAGUACCUUUGGUCUUUGUUAAAUUCUAUGACCAUUUUGCAUUUUUAGCAGCAUUUUUUAGUAGCUACCCUAUUUUUCUUAAAUAAUAAGCAUACAUCUUUUUGCAUUGAAGGAGAAAUGUUAAAGGAAUCCCAGGUCAAUCAAGAGCGUUUGAGGGCAGAGCUGGAGGAGGCCAAAACUUCCUUGGAAAAGGCAGAGGUACAGCUUGCUUAUGGUUUUCCAGCAUAAAUAGGUUAGAUGAGUAAUUGCAUAAAUAAUUACUGAAACUUUAGACAUGAAACAACUGUAGCUCUUUGUUGCAAAACAUGUUUAGAAAUUAUAUAAUUUUUUGAAGGUUACUCAAAAGAGCUUAGAAAACGAAUUCCAGACUACAGUGAAAACAUUAAUUCAGGUCACUGAAGAAAAGGAAGCACAGGAGGAAGAAUGUAAAAAAACUAAGGCUUUGCAUGCAGCCCUGACAGCAGAGUUUGAGACUUCUAUUGCCAAUUUGAAAAGCUUGCUGCAAAAAGAGCAAAAUAGGUAAAUUAAAAAGUUUUAAGUUCAAAGAAUGCUCUUAUAGGUUGUAGUUUAUGACAAAAAUCAAGAAGAGUUGGACGUGAAGCUGAAAUUCAGAGGUUUUUUGUCACAGUGGUCUAAAUGCAGAGAAUUUGAUGUAAUCUCUUUUUGAUUGUGCUGGUUGAUACUGG